GACGAACGCUGGCGGCGUGCUUAACACAUGCAAGUCGAGCGGUAAGGCCCUUUCGGGGGUACACGAGCGGCGAACGGGUGAGUAACACGUGGGUGACCUGCCCUCAGCUCUGGGAUAAGCCUGGGAAACCGGGUCUAAUACCGGAUAUGACUCCAUGACGCAUGUUGUGGGGUGGAAAGCCUUGUGCGGCUGAGGAUGGGCCCGCGGCCUAUCAGCUUGUUGGUGGGGUGAUGGCCUACCAAGGCGACGACGGGUAGCCGGCCUGAGAGGGCGACCGGCCACACUGGGACUGAGACACGGCCCAGACUCCUACGGGAGGCAGCAGUGGGGAAUCUUGCGCAAUGGGCGAAAGCCUGACGCAGCGACGCCGCGUGUGGGAUGACGGUCUUCGGAUUGUAAACCACUGUCGGGAGGGACGAAUACGCCGCAAGGCGGGUGACGGUACCUCCAAAGGAAGCACCGGCUAACUCCGUGCCAGCA
rnacentral:rRNA from 1 species